AACGCGAAGAACCUUACCAGCUCUUGACAUCUCAGGUCGGUUUCCAGAGAUGGGAUCCUCCCAGCAAUGGGCCUGAACACAGGUGCUGCAUGGUUGUCGUCAGCUCGUGUCGUGAGAUGGUGGGUUAAGUCCCGCAACGAGAGCCACCCUCUCCAUUAGUGGCCAUCAUUAAGUUGGGAACUCUAGGGAGACUGCCGGUGAUAAACCGGAGGAAGGUGGGGAUGACGUCAAGUCAUCAUGGCCCUUACGGGCUGGGCUACACACGUGCUACAAUGCCGGUGACAAGGGGCAGCAACACAGCGAUGUGAAGCUAAUCUCAAAAAGCCGUCUCAGUUCGGAUUGGGUUCUGCAACUCGACUCCAUGAAGUGGGAAUCGCUAGUAAUCGCGAAUCAGCAUGGCCCGGUGAAAACCUUCCCCGGGUCUUGUACACACCG
rnacentral:rRNA from 1 species